GGAUCAAUCUAUCGGUCGUGCAAUAGUACGUACUGAUUUUAUUGAUUCCUACCUUCUGAUGAACUAUGAUGUCAUUAAUUUGGUGUCAUAGGGAAUCAGGACUGUUACUUUGAAAAAAUUAGAGUGUUUAAAGCAGGCUCACGCUUGAAUACAUUAGCAUGGAAUAACGAAAUAGGACGU
rnacentral:rRNA from 1 species